rnacentral:rRNA from 1 species
UACGUAGGGGGCAAGCGUUGUCCGGAUUUAUUGGGCGUAAAGAGCGUGUAGGCGGCUUGACAGGUCUGCUGUGAAAACUCGAGGCUCAACCUCGAGAUGUCGGCGGAAACCGUCUGGCUAGAGUCCGGAAGAGGAGAGUGGAAUUCCUGGUGUAGCGGUGAAAUGCGCAGAUAUCAGGAAGAACACCUAUGGCGAAGGCAGCUCUCUGGGACGGUACUGACGCUGAGACGCGAGAGCGUGGGGAGCGAACAGG